rnacentral:lncRNA from 1 species
UGGCUGUGGGUUUUUCAUAUAUAGCUCUUCUUAUUUUGAGAUAUGUCCCACCAAUACCUAGUUCAUGGAGAGUUUUUAACAUGAGGGGAUGUUGAAUUUUAUCAAAGGCCUUUUCUGUGCCUAUUGAGAUAAUCAUGUGGUUUUUGUCAUUAGUUCUGUUUAUGUGAUGGAUUACAUUUAUUGAUUUGUGUAUGUUGGACCAGCCCUGCAUCUCACAGAUGAAGCUGACUUGAUCAUGGUAAAUCAGGGAUUUCCUCUUGGUUUGGAUCCUUUGCUGAACUAAGAGUAUUUUUAAUACAGUGCUGAAGAGCCAGCUGAACUGGCUUUGUAGAUCAUCCUCAGGAAACUGACGGUCAGGCCUCCUGUAUGACACCAGGGAGCUGAGGCUUUAUGGAUUGGAUCACUGCACCCAAUGAGACACACCUGCUGCCUGUCGAACCAACCCUCUUCCUAGCUCCUCCAUAAUUCCUUUUUUUCCUGCACGUGAUUACAGUGAGAUGCUAGAUCCCUCAUUCAGCUACCUGCUGCCUGUUGACCAGCUCCUCUUCCUCUCCCCCGGCCCUGGUUCUUCUUCCAAGCUAUUAGGUGAAAGCAAAAGUAAUUGCGGUUUUUGCAUUGUUGAAAUUUGCCAUUUGAUAUUGGGAUACAUUUUUAAAUAAAUGUGGUUAUGUUAUA